AGUGAACGCUGGCGGCAGGCCUAACACAUGCAAGUCGAGCGGCAGCGCGUCCGACCACCCUCGGGUGGUCGGAUGGCGGCGAGCGGCGGACGGGUGAGGAAUGCAUCGGAAUCUGCCUCGUUGUGGGGGAUAACGUAGGGAAACUUACGCUAAUACCGCAUACGACCUACGGGUGAAAGUGGGGGACCUUCGGGCCUCACGCGAUGAGAUGAGCCGAUGCCGGAUUAGCUAGUUGGCGGGGUAAAGGCCCACCAAGGCGACGAUCCGUAGCUGGUCUGAGAGGAUGAUCAGCCACACUGGAACUGAGACACGGUCCAGACUCCUACGGGAGGCAGCAGUGGGGAAUUUUGGACAAUGGGCGCAAGCCUGAUCCAGCAAUGCCGCGUGCAGGAUGAAGGCCUUCGGUUGUAAACUAGCUUUUGUUACGGAACGAAACGGACUCUUUCUAAUUAAAGGGAAGCGUAAUGACGGUACCGUAAGAAUAAGACACCGGCUAACUACGU
rnacentral:rRNA from 1 species